AACGAACGCUGGCGGCAUGCCUAACACAUGCAAGUCGAACGAGACCUUUGGGUCUAGUGGCGCACGGGUGCGUAACGCGUGGGAAUCUGCCCUUGGGUUCGGAAUAACUGUGAGAAAUUGCUGCUAAUACCGGAUGAUGUCUUCGGACCAAAGAUUUAUCGCCCAGGGAUGAGCCCGCGUAGGAUUAGCUAGUGGGUAGGGUAAUGGCCUACCAAGGCGUCGAUUCUUAGCUGGUUUGAGAGGAUGAUCAGCCACACUGGGACUGAGACACGGCCCAGACUCCUACGGGAGGCAGCAGUGGGGAAUAUUGGACAGUGGGCGCAAGCCUGAUCCAGCAAUGCCGCGUGAGUGAUGAAGGCCUUAGGGUUGUAAAGCUCUUUUACCAGGGAUGAUAAUGACAGUACCUGGAGAAUAAGCGCCGGCUAACUCCGUG
rnacentral:rRNA from 1 species